GCUCGAUCUUGAAGAAAGAUAUUCCUAAGACAACGCCCCCUACAUUCAUAAAUUGAAGACUCAAAUCUGGAGCCUUCGGCAAGGCCUUGAUAUGUCAAUCGCCUCCUACCAUACACAAUUUUGUACUUUAUGGGAAGAACUUGCCGCCUAUUCGAGAGUGCCUACAUGCUCAUGUGAAGGAGCAAAGGCACUUCAGAUCAAG
rnacentral:lncRNA from 1 species